rnacentral:SRP_RNA from 1 species
GCCAGGCAUGGUAGCAGAUGCUUGUAAUCUUUGCUACUAGGGGAGGCAGAGGCUGAUGGAUUACUUGAGUUCUGCAGUCCUGAACUGCAGGAGGACUAAAGUAGACCAGGUGUCUUUAGUAAGGUUGGCACCAACAUGGUGACACCCCCACACACACACCUAGGAGUAGGGGUGACACCAGGCUGCCUAAGGAGGGGCAAAGAAGUCCAGGUUUGAAACAGAGGUGGUCAAAGCUUCCAUGUCAAUCAACAGUUGGGUCAAGCUGCACUUUUGGCAUAGGUGAGAUAGGGAGAACUAGCCUCCA